rnacentral:rRNA from 1 species
GGACCCUGAUCCAGCCAUGCCGCGUGUGUGAAGAAGGGCUUAUGGUUGUAAAGCACUUUAAGCGAGGAGGAGGCUACUAGUAUUAAUACUACUGGAUAGUGGACGUUACUCGCAGAAUAAGCACCGGCUAACUCUGUGCCAGCAGCCGCGGU